CCCACACGCAUGUGUGUAAAACCCCAAAUGAUCACCAUUAAAUUUGGCACAGAUAUCUAAAAAAGUUAUCAUAUGUGUGUGGGACUUUACUUUUAUAGAGAUCUGUGCCAAAUUUAAUGGUGAUCCUUUGGGGUCCUAUACACAUGGGUGUAGA
rnacentral:pre_miRNA from 1 species